rnacentral:rRNA from 1 species
AAUGCCUAGGAAUCUGCCUGGUAGUGGGGGAUAACGUUCGGAAACGGACGCUAAUACCGCAUACGUCCUACGGGAGAAAGCAGGGGACCUUCGGGCCUUGCGCUAUCAGAUGAGCCUAGGUCGGAUUAGCUAGUUGGUGAGGUAAUGGCUCACCAAGGCGACGAUCCGUAACUGGUCUGAGAGGAUGAUCAGUCACACUGGAACUGAGACACGGUCCAGACUCCUACGGGAGGCAGCAGUGGGGAAUAUUGGACAAUGGGCGAAAGCCUGAUCCAGCCAUGCCGCGUGUGUGAAGAAGGUCUUCGGAUUGUAAAGCACUUUAAGUUGGGAGGAAGGGUUGUAGAUUAAUACUCUGCAAUUCUGACGUUACCGACAGAAUAAGCACCGGCUAACUCUGUGCCAGCAGCCGCGGUAAUACAGAGGGUGCAAGCGUUAAUCGGAAUUACUGGGCGUAAAGCGCGCGUAGGUGGUUUGUUAAGUUGGAUGUGAAAUCCCCGGGCUCAACCUGGGAACUGCAUUCAAAACUGACUGACUAGAGUAUGGUAGAGGGUGGUGGAAUUUCCUGUGUAGCGGUGAAAUGCGUAGAUAUAGGAAGG